ensembl:rRNA 5S_rRNA 5S ribosomal RNA
GUCUACGGCCAUACCACCCUGAACGCGCCCGAUCUCGUCUGAUCUUGGAAGCUAAGCAGGGUAGGGCCUGGUUAGUACUUGGAUGGGAAGACUUAAAAAAAAAAAGUUCUAUUUUAAAGAAUGUAGGGCACUAUACA